rfam:Emiliania huxleyi CCMP1516 EMIHTscaffold_11_Cont609, whole genome shotgun sequence.
GCCCUCAUAGCUCAGUUGGCAGAGCGCGAGACCUUUAAUCUCGUGGCCUUGGGUUCGAUCCCCAAUGAGGGUG